UGAAAAUCGAGUCCUGAAAGAUAAGAGAGGU
rnacentral:piRNA from 1 species